GAGUUUGAUCGUGGCUCAGAUUGAACGCUGGCGGCAUGCCUUACACAUGCAAGUCGAACGGCAGCAUGAUCUAGCUUGCUAGAUUGAUGGCGAGUGGCGAACGGGUGAGUAAUACAUCGGAACGUGCCCUGUAGUGGGGAUAACUAGUCGAAAGAUUAGCUAAUACCGCAUACGACCUGAGGGUGAAAGUGGGGGACCGCAAGGCCUCAUGCUAUAGGAGCGGCCGAUGUCUGAUUAGCUAGUUGGUGGGGUAGAGGCCCACCAAGGCGACGAUCAGUAGCUGGUCUGAGAGGACGAUCAGCCACACUGGGACUGAGACACGGCCCAGACUCCUACGGGAGGCAGCAGUGGGGAAUUUUGGACAAUGGCGAAAGCCUGAUCCAGCAAUGCCGCGUGUGUGAAGAA
rnacentral:rRNA from 1 species